rnacentral:lncRNA from 1 species
GUGUGAGGGAGCGAGACCGGAUACAAAAUUUGUGGAGUCCGGUGCAAAUGAAAACACAGGGCCGGCUGAUAAAAAUUAAGAAUUUCAAGAUGGCAACAUCAGAACAUUACGGGGCUUGAGCCCAGAGCCCUGUGCAACUGCACAGGUCACAUGCCCAUGAAGGGGCCCCAAGAGGGAGGACAGUAUGUGAGGACAGAUGUGUGGAUCGGGGGACAUGGGCGUGACAGUGGCAGCGAGGGCCGGGCCUGACUCUCAGGUGGGCAUUUGGGCAGCUUCUUCAGCAGGCCCAGGGCAGCAGUCAUUGAGUGUCUGUGGGCACCAAGCUGGCAGUGUGGCUACGGAGGCCCGUACGUAGAGGGGAAUUGUGCCAUGAUCUGAGUGCCCGGCCAUCUGGAGGGCCACAUCGAUGCCACCCUCCUCUCAACAGGACAUGACAACGGCUCCCUCUCUGGUCUCCUUGCCUCCUCAUGCAGCAAAGCACCCAGCACAGGGCCAGGCAUACAGCAGAUGCUCAAUAAGUGCUGAGUGGACGAGUGAUUCGAACUGCAGGGUUACUAGGGCCAGGGAAGAUGUGUUCCAUGGGGCUGAGGUAUGUAGGAGGCACGUGGUGGCUCAGGUCUGGGAGGGAGCAGUGGGAGAUUUGGGAGACAUUUGAUCUGCCAGCCCCUCCGAGGGAGGCGGGAAGGCAGGGUGAAGGGGGGUGCUCCCCACCCUAAUCCUCAGCCCCACUGGGGAGAGAAGAAUGUGUCUCCUAGCGACCUGGGAAACGGGGAGGUCAGGGUCCGCCCCUGGGAAGCCCAGCAGGCAGCUCCCUGCACCCUAUUCAGUCCUGCUGGGGUUCUCCUACCAGGAAAUCCCCAGAGGGGACUCUCA